rnacentral:lncRNA from 1 species
AGUCUGGUUUUAGGAGUUCUCUUAAUUGAAACCAUUCCAUUGGAACCUAUGGAAGGAACUGAAGGGUGAGUUCAUGAACUUACUUGAGCUUAUGUAUUAGUAGUAACUUAAGCUCCAGCUUCUUGUAGUUAUAAAAGUAGUUGACAGCUGUGAUAAUUUCAGAUAAAGUAGUUGUGCUUUUGUGUGAACUACAGAAAAAUAGGUGCUGAUAUGGUGGGGGAUUGCUAGACUGAAUACUUUAUCAAAUCAUUUUUUAAGCUGUGAUGCAAUGAUUUAAGUCUCAUGACUUAAGUUUCUGUAGGUUUUUUUUUUUCUUUUUUUUUUUUUUUUUUCAUGGCUGUUAGAAUGUUUUUUGUCCCUAGUAUCCACAUACCUGCACAGAAGGAAGGGAUCCAGUCUUUAUUUUAGAAUGACGGGGAAAGAAAAACAAUCAUUCUAGUGAUUUGGAGAGGAUUGAAAAGGAUUGAUUGUCUUUAGCUAUUUUGCAGUUGAUUUCAGGAGUUUGGCCUUAAAUUAAAUUUUUCUGAUAGGCUUGGCUUUGAUAUGCUGUUUGGAUUUUUAUUUAGUGACCUAUCUGAUAGUCUUGACUCCAAUUUAUAAGAUUGACAAAUAUGUACUAACUGACACUGAGCUAGAACAAUAGGAAGGUGUGAUCUAUCUGUAGUCUGUGGCAGUCUUGCUUAAACAUUGGCUGCAGCAAACAAUACCUUGCUCAGGCAGGUAGCGACCACAAUAUCAGCUUAAACCGGGUGCUGGAGAAACUGACAGACUCAGCAGCUAAGGGCCGAUGGAGCAUGCACCAACAAAUCUAUGACUAUUCAUAUUCAUCAUCUUGCCCCAUAAAUAGUGAGGAACCCAAGAGCACUUUGAGCUCUUCUGCAUGGCAGCUGGCUGCAGGACAGAUUUUCCCUGAGUAGGGACACUACUCAGGUCAUGCCUGAUGCAGAGAUCCCAUACUCCUUGCAAGAGAUUCCUUGCUGCAACUCCUUGCCACACAAGCAACUAUUCAGGUCAUAUUUCUCCCUCUCACGUUUCAAGUGAAGUUUCAAAGAUACCAGGUAUUUUACUUUCCCUGCUGCAUGAAUAUGAAGCACCAUUGCAGAAGCUUGUUGGAGGAACAUCAUUUUUGAUAAAACAAAAACAAAACCAUCAGUCCUCUUUUCUGGUGCGGUUCUGCCCUCACCUUCCGACUGUCUUUAAUGAAUUAGUUCAGGACAGGGACUGUCUUUCUUAAUGAAUUGCUGUCAGGAAGUUGUGCACACAAAAGUGUGAGCUGGGCCAGUUCGACGGGGGGCGGGGGGGGGGGGGGGGAGAGAGAAGAAGGCCAGAAACAAGAGAGAAGCAGAAUUCAUCCAAGCUGCAUUGGCCAGGCACAAAAUCAAGGCAAUACCAGAGGGAGAGGACAGGUGCACGCAGCUGGGGGUACCCAGAAGCGAGACUGGCGGUGAGGUUAUCCUCUUUUGGCGUUAAGAGAUUGUGAAAUUGGUGCAUUAUAGUAUUUAUUGCACAUCACCCUCGGUUUCCUGGGGACUGAAAUUCCCUUUGCUGCUAAAGGCUUUCUUGUUAAUAGCUUGCCUGCAUGGGUUAAUUUUCCUCUUUUAUGAUUUACGAAGUGAGUGAAUAUUUUGGUACCUUGUCUCCUAUUAUAGUACCUCCUCAGAGAGUCUCUUCUUAGCCUCCUUUAGGUCUGCAGUGUGCUUUUUGAGUGCUGUUAUGUUUUAGGAUAUAUAUGAGGUCAGGCCUAGUGUGACAGAUAUCACAGUCACCUUGAAUACAAUGAAAACUAAAACAAACUAAAACAUUGUUCUUUUUUUUUUUUUUUUUUUUUUUUUUUUUUUUUUCUUAGGUGUUACUGGCCAGCUAGAAUUGUGUGUUCUGGUAUAAGUCUGUAUCUUUUUUCUUUUCCUGUCUUGAAAAGAUGGCUAUGACUACAUGGCUCUGUAAUAAUAAAAACAAUGUAGUAGGAAGUGUAACA